AAUACGUAGGUGGCAAGCGUUGUACGGAAUUAUUGGGCGCAAAGCGCGCGCAGGCGGUCGUUUAAGUCUGAUGUGAAAGCCCACGGCUCAACCGUGGAGGGUCAUUCGAUACUGGGGGACUUGAGUGCAGAAGAGGAAAGCGGCAUUCCACGUGUAGCGGUGAAAUGCGUAGAGAUGUGGAGGAACACCAGUGCCGAAGGCGGCUUUCUNGUCUGUAACUGACACUGAGGCGCGAAAGGGUGGGGAGUUAAAAACAGGAUUAGAUACCCUGGUAGUCCACGCCCUAAACGAUGAGUGUUAAGUGUUAGAGGGUUUCCGCCCUUUAGUGCUGCAGGUAACGCAUAAAGCACUCCGCCUGGGGAGUACGGCCGCAAGGCUGAAACUCAAAGGACNUUGACGGGGGCCCGCACAA
rnacentral:rRNA from 1 species